AAUGGUUCCAUGUCCAAUCUA
rnacentral:miRNA from 1 species